rnacentral:rRNA from 1 species
UACGAAGGGGGCUAGCGUUGUUCGGAUUUACUGGGCGUAAAGCGCACGUAGGCGGAUCGUUAAGUCGGGGGUGAAAUCCUGGAGCUCAACUCCAGAACUGCCUUCGAUACUGGCGAUCUCGAGUCCGGAAGAGGUGAGUGGAACUCCUAGUGUAGAGGUGGAAUUCGUAGAUAUUAGGAAGAACACCAGUGGCGAAGGCGACUCACUGGUCCGGUACUGACGCUGAGGUGCGAAAGCGUGGGGAGCAAACAGA